rnacentral:sRNA from 12 species
ACGCACAAUGGUAAAAUUAGAUAUAUUUUACCAUAAUUACAUUAAUUUAAUUAUCAAAAAGGAAUUAUGAUAAAUC